rnacentral:lncRNA from 1 species
GAAGAGCCCUUAAUCCCAUGCUUGCUUUGUUUUUUGGCAGGUCUCCUCCUCCUCUAGGCUUUGCGAGCUAGCCUUUUUUAUAUUGUGACUUGGGUGAAUUUGGUGGCUUGAGCUUGAAUACGUGGCUAUUUACCAAACUAUUAAAAUUGUGAGAACUGAUAGGUUUUGCAUUUUAGGUCAAGCAUACAAGCAUAUUAUAACCAGAAAAUAUCUUCACAAAAAUUUCAUGGCAGGGAAUAAAGAUUAAUCAGACACCACAUGUGGUAAGGAAUAAUUGCAUCUUGUUAAAAGAGUCCGACGUGCAAUUUGAGAAUUUCGUGAUAAAACUAAUUUCAUUUCUCUAUUACAUCGGAUGUAGGAACUUUAGCCGUGUGCGGACCGUGACGAAAGCAGGUGAAUCUCUCUUGGACCAGUUAUAUAUAUUUCUUUACAGGUCGGCCAUAUGCAACACGCAAAACUACCAAAACUACUUACAUCAGAGGCUUACACCACAUAAACCAUGCCAAC